GAUUCCUACGGGAGGCAGCAGUGGGGAAUAUUGCACAAUGGGGGAAACCCUGAUGCAGCGACGCCGCGUGAGUGAAGAAGUAUUUCGGUAUGUAAAGCUCUAUCAGCAGGGAAGAAAAAAGACGGUACCUGACUAAGAAGCCCUGGCUAACUACGUGCCAGCAGCCGCGGUAAUACGUAGGGGGCAAGCGUUAUCCGGAUUUACUGGGUGUAAAGGGACCGUAGACGGCGGCACAAGUCAGAAGU
rnacentral:rRNA from 1 species